rnacentral:misc_RNA from 1 species
GAAAGAAGAUAUGGUCAAACAAUGUCAUCCGAGUGCAGCCAAACUCAUGAUGAAUCAAAUCACAGUUUUACGUCCACCUCAAAUCAAAAUCAAAAUCAAAAGGAAGCUACAGAGAGUGCAUGUAGGGACAGGUUUGCCAGGGGAAGUGGCAUUCCCAUCUCUAUUAAGUUCAAGAAGUUGGUCAAUGAUGGAACAAUGUGCAGACAACAAGAAAAACAGAGAUUGGAUAGAUUCCAGCAUGAGUUGGAAAAAACCAUGACGGAACCGCCCCCUAUAGAGAUCGGUCCAAAGCGUCUUAAAGUCCGAGGCCCAUCAUUUCUUGGGUAAGAGAACAAGAAUUGACUUUUGGAUAACAUGAUAGGUGAAGAAACUGGUUGGCCUGCCUCUGGA